CUCGCAUUGAAUUUCAAUAUUAUAUAAUACACAUAUGAUGUUGGUAUCUCUUUUCGCAACACAUAUGAAACAUAUAUCCAAACCGUUAAUAUAUUACAAUGAUUCGUGAAAUAUCAAACUUAUGUCUAAUGCUCAAACGGCGUUGCCAAAAUUAAGCAUUGAACAUUGAAGCCUACUAUGACAAAGAAGUUAUUGCGGUACAAACAAAGCAUAUAACAAAUACAAAUUGAUAUCACCCGUUCAAGUCGGUCCCUUCCCCUUCCCAUCACAUUCUACAAUUCCCUUUCCUUCGCGAAAUGUUACGUACAAUGUUAUAUCGACGUCUCGUUUCUCGAUAAUUCGAGCUAAGUUGUCGAAGAUUCUUGGCAAGUCUUCACAUUCCUAGUUGGGCUCAUGAUUCACCUCUUCAUCAACGGCACUCAACUCUCCACUUAAAUCUUGAUUUUUCACCCAAUUGAAAUAUUCACAGUCGUUACUACACGUGAAGAAUAAAUGCCCUUUUGUUUUCAGUAUUCCGUUCUAUAUCAAAACAUUUUCGAAAUCCACGUUUACAUGAAGGGCAUCCACGUUUUGUUUUGCAUUGUCCAAAGUAGUGAGUGUUACUUCUACAGCCAUGACAAACUUCGAAAUUUCUUCCUCUCAUUCUAGUCAACAACUGUUGAAGAAACAAAUAAACCCACAUGAAUCCAACGGGAAUUAUGAAAUCCCACAUGGAACUUAUGAACAUCAGUACAUUGCAAACAAAGCACCAACUUAAUUGUAUUUCACUAAGAUUCUUUUACUACCCUCUUGCAAAUACAAAUUCAAUAAAAUGAGGAUAAUUUCUUCUACCAUCAUUUAGCUUCGAAAUUGGCCACGAAUUUAGCAAGCUUUCCACAAUAUAAACAGAGAACGAAAAUGAUAGUAUCAAAAUCAGCAACCUUUCUGCAAUAAAUUGCUGAAACGAAAUGAAGAAAAAAGCUGAUUCUCAAAAUUUUAUAAGCAACAAGCAAAAUGCCAUUUUCAAUAACAUGCUAAUAAACUGAAGAACAAUCAAUAAUAGAGCAAGUCGUGUUAUUAUUUAAUUAGGAAUCGAAAAGUUAUUUUGCCACAAAUUUUCUGAAAAAAAUCAUCAAUUUAUGAACAAACUCACAAAUUUACGAAGAACAAAAGAUCAAAGACUUCAACUUUACAAACAAUCAGGCUACAUAAUCAAUAUACUUCAAAUAUAUGUCAAAACAAAGAAGAAAAAACACACAAAUCAUGUAAACAAGUCUAAGACAGUUUAACCAUAAAUUAGCAUAAAACAGUAAAUAACAAAAUAACUUUGCCUAGCUCAGACACGUAGAUAUCAGCGCUGUCUUCAAAUACUAUUUUCAUGUUGGGUUUCGAUGUGCUGCUGUCUUCACACUACAUUAGAAGGACGGCGCCAGUCAAUGGUCCAGAUGUCGGCCCACAAAUUCAACGAUGAAGGGCAACAGUUUUGCUCUUACUUUGGGGGGAAAAUGAAAUGAUUUAGGGAAAAUUCUACCAGUUCAUUUUAAGGGUGAAGAUCGAUUUCUUUUGGAGCCGAUUUUUGGUUGAAAUUGAAAAGGACAUAAAAAACGUAUAAUAAUUCUAUAUGCUAGGUCAGCCAAUUCAAAUUUCUGUAGAACUUCUAUGGGUAUUUCCUGUACCCAUAGAAUAAUCCUAAAA
rnacentral:lncRNA from 1 species